GACGAACGCUGGCGGCGUGCUUAACACAUGCAAGUCGUACGGUAAGGCCCUUUCGGGGGUACACGAGUGGCGAACGGGUGAGUAACACGUGAGUAACCUGCCCCCACCUUGGGGUUAAGCCUGGGAAACUGGUGCUAAUACUGACUAUUUGCUCCUCCUGCAUGGUGGGGGUUGGAAGGCUCCGGCGGUUGUGGAGGGACUCCCGGCCUAUCAGCUUGUUGGGGGGGUGGUGGCCUACCAAGGCGGCGACGGGUAGCCGGCCUGAGAGGGUGACCGGCCACAUUGGGACUGAGAUACGGCCCAGACUCCUACGGGAGGCAGCAGUGGGGAAUAUUGCACAAUGGGCGCAAGCCUGAUGCAGCAACGCCGCGUGCGGGAUGACGGCCUUCGGGUUGUAAACCGCUUUCAGCAGGGACGAAGCUUUUUGUGACGGUACCUGCAGAAGAAGCACCGGCUAACUACGUG
rnacentral:rRNA from 1 species